GAAAUGCGAUAAGUAGUGUGAAUUGCAGAAUUCAGUGAAUCAUCGAAUCUUUGAACGCACAUUGCGCCCCUCGGUAUUCCGUGGGGCAUGCCUGUUCGAGCGUCAUCUACACCCUCAAGCUCUGCUUGGUGUUGGGCGUCUGUCCCGCCUCCGCGCGCGGACUCGCCCCAAAUGCAUUGGCAGCGGUUCCUUGCCCCCCUCUUUGCGCAGCACAUUGCCAUUCGAGGCGGCGGCGGCCCGCGUCCAACAAGCUCAACCCCCCCGUCUUUGACCUCGGAUCAGGUAGGGAUACCCGCUGAACUUACGC
rnacentral:misc_RNA from 1 species